GAUGAACGCUGGCGGCGUGCCUAAUACAUGCAAGUCGAGCGAACGGACGAGAAGCUUGCUUCUCUGAUGUUAGCGGCGGACGGGGGAGUAAAACGUGGAUAACCUACCUAUAAGACUGGGAUAACUUCGGGAAACCGGAGCUAAUACCGGAUAAUAUUUUGAACCGCAUGGUUCAAAAGUGAAAGACGGUCUUGCUGUCACUUAUAGAUGGAUCCGCUCUGCAUUAGCUAGUUGGUAAGGUAACGGCUUACCAAGGCAACGAUGCAUAGCCGACCUGAGAGGGUGAUCAGCCACACUGGAACUGAGACACGGUCCAGACUCCUACGGGAGGCAGCAGUAGGGAAUCUUCCGCAAUGGGCGAAAGCCUGACGGAGCAACGCCGCGUGAGUGAUGAAGGUCUUCGGAUCGUAAAACUCUGUUAUUAGGGAAGAACAUAUGUGUAAGUAACUGUGCACAUCUUGACGGUACCUAAUCAGAAAGCCACGGCUAACUACGUG
rnacentral:rRNA from 1 species